CCUAGCUUCGGCUGGACAUAUACUAAAAUUGGAACGAUACAGAGAAGAUUAGCAUGGCCUUGCUCAAGGAUAUAAAUGCUGCAAGGGCCAUGCUGUGUAUUU